GAUGAAGAACGUAGCGAAAUGCGAUAAGUAAUGUGAAUUGCAGAAUUCAGUGAAUCAUCGAAUCUUUGAACGCACAUUGCGCCCCUUGGUAUUCCGGGGGGCAUGCCUGUUCGAGCGUCAUUAUCACCCCUCAAGCUCAGCUUGGUGUUGGGGCCUGCCGUCAAGGCAGCCCUUAAAAUCAGUGGCGGCGCCAUCUGGCUCUAAGCGUAGUAAUACUUCUCGCUACAGGGUCCAGGUGGUGUCUUGCCAGAACCCCUCAUUUUUUAUGAUUGACCUCGGAUCAGGUAGGGAUACCCGCUGAACUUAAGCAUAUCAAUAAGCGGAGGA
rnacentral:misc_RNA from 1 species